rnacentral:rRNA from 1 species
AGUAGUCUACGAGUUUCGAGUCCCUGGACCUCAGAACGAACGCUGGCGGCAUGCCUAACACAUGCAAGUCGAACGAGACCUUCGGGUCUAGUGGCGCACGGGUGCGUAACGCGUGGGAAUCUGCCCUUUGCUUCGGAAUAACAGUUAGAAAUGACUGCUAAUACCGGAUGAUGUCUUCGGACCAAAGAUUUAUCGGCAAAGGAUGAGCCCGCGUAGGAUUAGGUAGUUGGUGGGGUAAAGGCCUACCAAGCCGACGAUCCUUAGCUGGUCUGAGAGGAUGAUCAGCCACACUGGGACUGAGACACGGCCCAGACUCCUACGGGAGGCAGCAGUGGGGAAUAUUGGACAAUGGGCGAAAGCCUGAUCCAGCAAUGCCGCGUGAGUGAUGAAGGCCUUCGGGUCGUAAAGCUCUUUUACCAGGGAUGAUAAUGACAAUACCUGGAGAAUAAGCUCCGGCUAACUCCGUG